UCCCCCUCUCUAAUCCUUGCUAUCUGGGUGCUAGUGCUGUCUCAAUGCAAUG
rnacentral:miRNA from 1 species